GGGACAGUGCCCGGAAAUAUAUGAAUUAAAGCGAGAUGUUGUGUCGAACUGAAAUAUUUCAGACUUUAUGACUGUGAAGAGAGGAGGCUCAGAGACGCUGAAACAACGACGACUGUGAUGGUCUGCGAAGAAAAGAGCGAUUGAAGCCAAGGCUCUCCCAUUUUCACCUCAAACCUGAGCUGAACUCCGGAAUGCCGCGAACUGUUACACCCUAUCCCAGUGCCGGGGUCAGUGGGAGUGCGUCUCCUUUUCGCUAUGCAGACGAACCGGGCCCCUCCGUCAACCUCCGUAUAAGCUCCCCCCUGUCUGCGGAAGGAGCGGCCUCCGAUGUCUCCCGGCGCCCGGGCCUUGAUAGCUAACAGCCUUUUACUGCCUUCGCCCACUCCUCCAGUAACAAGAGUGUGAGGAAGCUAAUGGAUGUUGUCAGUGGUGUGUUCUGAGCACUGAUUUAAAAGGAACCCACCAGCCAGGCUUCUCUCAGAGUUAGCCUGACCGCUGGACUACCUGGGUGAGGAGUACGAGAUGAGGAGGAUAGUUAGCUCACUCACGCUACAAAUCACAUUUAUAUCCUUAAAAGAUAUGGAGAUCGAUUAAAUGCCACGGUGUCAUGUGGAAAGUGAAUUCUGUCCUAUAAACAGUCUGUGAGAGGACUCGCCUUUUCCCUCCCUCCCCCUGUUUCGGUUGUAGUCUCUUACGUAAAAGUUAAUUGAGCCACUGAUUUCAGUGCUCAGGUCACAGGGGCUCGAAAUAUACUGGUGGAAACUGCAAACCUCUCCCAGAUUCAUUAGUUUAUUUAUAUAUUACAUGACUAUUCCGGGUCCAUUGUGAAAAAGCAAAAAGUGUUUGUAUUAUUUGUACUUUUUACCCCCCUAUUUUGUGAUAUCCAAUUGGUAGUUACAGUCUUGUCCCAUCGCUGCAACUCCCCUACGGUCUCGGGAGAGACAAAGGUCGUUAAUCCGGAAGCCAGCCGCACCAAUGUGUUGGAGGAAACACCGGCCAACUGGUGACCAAAGUCUGCUUGCACAAGAAGUUGCUAGAGUGCUAUGGGACAAGGAAAUACCGGCCGCCCUCCCCUCCUCUAACCUGGAUGACGCUAGGCCAAUUGUGCACCGCUUCAUGGGUCUCCCGGUCACGGACGGCUGUGACACAGCCUGGGAUCGAACACAGGGCUGUAGUGACGCCUCAAGUACUGUGAUGCAGUGCCAUAGACAGCUGUGCCACUCGGGCGGCCAGAAAAAUAAAAUGUUGCGCAGAGGCU